CAGUUCUUGUUGCCUGUGUCAACCAAGAAUAGGAGACCAAGUAAGACCUUGCAGAGCCCAAGAUGUGGGGAAGAGUUUGGGAAACAAGCCACUGUUGGUCUCUUGGAGUCCAGGAGCAGUACCAUCAGGGAGUGGGAUGCAGAAUCAGGCCAAGGGAACCUUGGAGAGUUGUGUCUGCAAUGAGGCAAGGUGUGAGCCAAAUUUGGACCCAGAAGCUGAAGCCUGAAACAAGCCAUUCUGGCCAUGAACUUAGAAAGGAGGAAAGGACCAAAAAAAAGUUAUGGGAGUUUGAAACCAAUGGACAAAGAAAGUAACAGGAGCCACAGCCUUAGCAGGGUAAGCAUACAAGCAGAAGGUUUAGUCCAUUCAAUAAACAUGUGCCUAGCAUACUCAGGCAAGUGUGAUAUCAGACCCCAAGACAUGGACUUGGGGACAAGUAAGAAAGGUUUCAGAUAUAGAGAAGAGGUCAAACUCUUGUGUGCAAACACUUUUGAAUCUUUGGUUGUGUUACAUUUAUUAAGUCCCAUUGGCCAAAGAAAGCCAUCUGGUCAGGCUCCAAGUCAGUGUGGGAGGAACCAUCCAAAGGAACUGAUACAGAGACAUGAGCAAAAUGAGGGGACUUCCUCGGUGGUCCAAUGGUUGGGACUUCACCUUCUGAUACAGGCAGUGCCAGUUCAAUCCCUGGUUGGGGACUGUGGUCCCACAUGCCUUGUGGUCAAGAGACCAAGGCAUAGCACAGAGGCAGUGUUGUAACAAAUUCAAUAAAGACUUUUAAAAAUGGUCCACAUUAAAAAAAAAUGAGGACCACUUCUGCAACAUUCUCCUAUAGGACACUCUGGGAGCUAUAGCAACUCUGAGUUAUCCCAUCCAAGGAGGAGGAAGCCAGAAAAUGUAGCCACCAGCCCCUAUUCUUCAUCAGAUUACACCUGAGGGCAGCAAAUCCCUUGUACUUCUGCCCACCCCAAGCAGACCAAGCAUGCAUCCACAGUCAGAGAACCCCUCAGCAGAGAGAUGCAUGAAGACUUUGGCACAGAGAGACACGGUCUACAGUGAUCUCCAGGGCAAGGAGAGGGAUAUAGGAAGGGCAUUAAAACAGUGUCUACUGCACAAGCAGUGGAAACACAGACAUUGAAAACAGACUUAUGGACACAGCUUCAGGGGUGGAAGGAGAGGGUGGGAUGUAUGGAGAGAGUCACAUGGAAACAUACAUUACCAUAUGUAAAAUAGAGACCAAUGGGAAUUUGUUGUAUGACUCAGGAACUCAAACCAGGCUUAGGUAACAACCUAGAAGGGUGGGAUGGGGAGGAGGUGGGAGAGAUGUGCAGGUAAAGGGGACAUGGGUAAACCUAUGCCUGAUUCAUGUUGAUGUUUAGUAGAAACCAACACAAUACUGUAAAGCAAUUAUCUUUCAACUAAAACUAAAUAAAUUAAAAAGAAAAAAAAUUGUCUGCUGCACAGAGGGCAUAAAUGAAAUACAGAAAUAGAGAAAUCCCAGAUAAAUUGGAGUGUCUGUCAUAGGCAACCAGAGUCCUGACCGUGUAUUUUGUGAUGGAUCUGUGAUAUCCGACAUGUAAAGCAGAAGGAGUCUUCACAAGGCAGGCAAGGUCAGGUUGAGGUGAUUUGCAGUGAGGCUCAAAAUUUCAG
ensembl:lncRNA